rnacentral:rRNA from 1 species
CCUACGGGGGGCAGCAGUGAGGAAUAUUGGUCAAUGGACGAGAGUCUGAACCAGCCAAGUAGCGUGAAGGAUGACUGCCCUAUUGGUUGUAAACUUCUUUUAUAUGGGAAUAAAAUGUUCCACGUGUGGGAUUUUGUAUGUACCAUAUGAAUAAGGAUCGGCUAACUCCGUGCCAGCAGCCGCGAUAAUACGGAGGAUCCGAGCGUUAUCCGGAUUUAUUGGGUUUAAAGGGAGCGUAGGUGGAUUGUUAAGUCAGUUGUGAAAGUUUGCGGCUCAACCGUAAAAUUGCAGUUGAAACUGGCAGUCUUGAGUACAGUAGAGGUGGGCGGAAUUCGUGGUGUAGCGGUGAAAUGCUUAGAUAUCACGAAGAACUCCGAUUGCGAAGGCAGUUCACUGGACUGCAACUGACACUGAGGCUCGAAAGUGUGGGUAUCAAACAGGAUUAGAUACCCCAGUAGUC